AUGGCCGCCGCCGCCGCAGCGACGCUCGCCCCGGCCUCCCCUCCGCUGCUGCCCGCCGUCUGCGGCCGGCUGCGCCUCGCGCCCCGCCGCGCCGCCGCGUGCCGCUGCAGGGCCACGGCGCAGUUCCAGGGCGGCCCCGCCGCCAGCUACGCCCGCGAGAUGGAGCGCCUCUCCGCCAAGGAGUCCCUCCUCCUCGCCUUCAGGGACUCUGGAGGCUUCGAAUCCUUUGUGAGUGGCAAGACCACGGAGAUGCAGAAGAUCGACGUCAAUGAGCGCAUCGUCGGCCUCGAACGCCUCGAUCCCACUCCUCGACCCACGACAUCACCCUAUCUGGAAGGUCGAUGGAACAUUGAAUGGUUUGGUGAUAGCAGUCCUGGAACAUUUGCAUCCAAGCUUUUGUUUGAGAGGUCACCUACAAGUGUCGCACACUUUACGGGGCUUGAUGUGGUGAUCAGGGAUGGCUACUGCAAAAUUUCCUCGAACGUCAAGCUGUUGAAUACGAUACAAAACAGAUUCGUGCUGACCACUCAACUGUCCGUGGAGGGGCCUAUCAGGAUGAAAGAGGAAUACGUCGAGGCAUUUUUGGAAACUCCCAAAAUCAGUGAAGAAACACUACCUGAACAACUGAAGGGCUUACUUGGACAAACUGCAGGAGCUCUACAGCAACUUCCUGCCUCUAUAAGAGAUGCUGUUUCGGAGGGGGUUAAGCUACCUCUUAAUGGGAUGUACCAGCGCUUAUUCAUGAUUUCCUACCUUGAUGAAGAAAUACUGAUUAUCCGAGAUGCUGCUGGAGCACCUGAUGUCCUGACAAAACUAGAAGGGCCGCAACCAAAUCCAAUGGAGAACACGCCAGAUGUAGUGAUCCCCGAAUAUCAAAGCUAG
rnacentral:rRNA from 1 species